rnacentral:rRNA from 1 species
UACGAAGGGGGCUAGCGUUGCUCGGAAUCACUGGGCGUAAAGCGCACGUAGGCGGGUCUUUAAGUCAGGGGUGAAAUCCUGGAGCUCAACUCCAGAACUGCCUUUGAUACUGAGGAUCUCGAGUCCGGGAGAGGUGAGUGGAACUCCGAGUGUAGAGGUGAAAUUCGUAGAUAUUCGGAAGAACACCAGUGGCGAAGGCGGCUCACUGGCCCGGUACUGACGCUGAGGUGCGAAAGCCAGGGGAGCGAACGGG